rnacentral:rRNA from 1 species
UUGAGUUCAAGAAGUACGUGAAACCGUGUGGGAGUAAACGGGUGGUUCCCGAAAGUACGAAAGGGGAGAUUCAGGUCUCGCCGCGCGUCGGGAGGCGCCCGCGAACGGAGAUGGUGUCCACGCUGCCGGGGGGUGACCCCCGGUCUCGCGGGGGGGUGACCCCCGGUCUCGCGGGGGCUCCACUCCGCGGGCGUCUUCUUAUCCGGCGCCGGAGCGACGCACUUCUCCCCCCUGUAGAACGUCGCGACCCGUCGGUCGCCGGCCUAAGGCCCCGGGAGGAGCCUCGCGUCUCUCGGGACGCGUCUGCGAGACCCUGGGGGUCCCGGCCGGGUGCCCGACGGAAGGAAGAGAGGAAGGAGUCGACGCGCCGACCUAUCGAUCGGCGUCCGGCCCUCUGCAAGCGCCCGCGGGAGUGCGGUUCCGGGCCUGGCCCGCUGCCGCGCCCNCCGCGGGGCUGUUUGCGAUUACGGAGGUGUCCUCGGAC